AAAAAGAGAUUUGGAGGCACGGGGAAUUGAACCCCGGACUUCUCGCAUGCGAAGCGAGCGCUCUACCCCUGAGCUAUGCCCCCACAU